rnacentral:rRNA from 1 species
GACGAACGCUGGCGGCGUGCUUAAUACAUGCAAGUCAACGAUUUUAAGAUAGCAAUAUUUAAAAUAGUGGCGCACGGUGAGUAACACGUAGAUAAUCUACCUUUAGGUCUGACAUAACUCGUCGAAAGACGGGCUAAUAUCAGAUAAAACAAUAACUUGGCAUCAAGUAAUUGUCAAAGCUUCGGCGCCCAAAGAUGAGUCUGCGGACCAUUAGGUAGUUGGUGGAUUAACAGCCCACCAAGCCAACGAUGGAUAGCUGGUCUGAGAGGAUGAUCAGCCACACUGGAACUGAGACACGGUCCAGACUCCUACGGGAGGCAGCAGUAAGGAAUAUUGCUCAAUGGGAGAAAAUCCUGAAGCAGCAACGCGCGUGAAGGAAGAAGGGUCUUCGACUUGUAAAC